GGGCGCAAGCCUGAUCCAGCCAUGCCGCGUGAGUGAUGAAGGCCUUAGGGUUGUAAAGCUCUUUCGCCAGGGAAGAUAAUGACUGUACCUGGAUAAGAAGCCCCGGCUAACUCCGUGCCAGCAGCCGCGGUAAUACGGAGGGGGCUAGCGUUGUUCGGAAUUACUGGGCGUAAAGCGCACGUAGGCGGCUUUCCAAGUUGGGGGUGAAAUCCCUGGGCUUAACCCAGGAACUGCCCUCAAAACUGGAAGGCUAGAGUCCGAGAGAGGUGAGUGGAAUUUCCAGUGUAGAGGUGAAAUUCGUAGAUAUUGGAAAGAACACCAGUGGCGAAGGCGGCUCACUGGCUCGGUACUGACGCUGAGGUGCGACAGCGUGGGGAGCAAACAGGAUUAGAUACCCUGGUAGUCCACGCCGUAAACGAUGGGUGCUAGUUGUCAGGCAGCUUGCUGUUUGGUGACGCAGCUAACGCAUUAAGCACCCCGCCUGGGGAGUACGGUCGCAA
rnacentral:rRNA from 1 species